rnacentral:rRNA from 1 species
UACAGAGGGUGCGAGCGUUAAUCGGAAUUACUGGGCGUAAAGCGUGCGUAGCCGGUUACAUAAGUCGGGUGUGAAAGCCCCGGGCUCAACCUGGGAAUUGCAUUCGAGACUGCGUAGCUAGGGUGCGGAAGAGGGAAGCGGAAUUUCCGGUGUAGCGGUGAAAUGCGUAGAUAUCGGAAGGAACACCAGUGGCGAAAGCGGCUUCCUGGUCCAGCACCGACGUUCAGGCACGAAAGCGUGGGGAGCAAACAGG